CAUAUAUAUAUAUAUAUAUAUAUAUAUAUAUAUAUAUAUAUAUAUAUAUAUAUAUAUAUAGAGAGAGAGAGAGAGAGAGAGAGAGAGAGAGAGAUAUAUAUAUAGAGAGAGAGAGAGAGUUGAGCUAAAAUGCUAUCGGUAGCAAAUUAAUUCCGUUGUCACCCAUUUAUUUUCAAUGAUGGAGCUUUUAAAUUGACAAUCGGCACCGUUGAAUAUGAUCUAUACCACUUGAAGUAUCUAAAAACCAAAUUUCAAAUCAUUUCGACAUCAUUAACCUAAUGAUCAAAGGGUUUCAAAAUUUGUAAUUUUAAUGGUAGAUAUAAGGCGUUUUCUCGUUUAACGGUGUAAAGCUAUCCAAAUCAAUUGAAUUUUGGUUAGAAAAUUUUUUAAACUAUUUGGAAUAAGAUCUAUACUCUCGAUCUUGAUUACAAAAUUCCUAUCAUCACUUUUUAGAAGAUAUUCAUUUUCAGCCGUUCAUUUUUACGCUCAUUUGAUAGACAAGAGAACAAUAUCGAAAAAGCAUGAAAUUUGAUUUCUAGAUACUUCAAGUGGUAUAGAUCAUAUUCAACGGUUCCGAUCAUCGAUUUGGAGGCUCCAUCAUCGAAAACAAAUGGGUGGCAACGGAGCCCGUUUGCUAUCGAUAGUAUUCUAGCUCAACUCUAUAUAUAUAUAUAUAUAUAUAAAUAUAAUUGAGCUUCUAUACUUUUAAAAGUAUCAAGUUAUUGGUACUUAUAGAUUUUUAGCCAUUGAAAUAAGAGAUAUGCGGUUAAGAUGAUGUGAGCCCCGUAGGGUUGAGUGGGUAGUUGGUUGAAUAGUAUAAUCUAAUGGUUGAAAAUGAUCAGAAGAGUAGAUCUAACGGUAAAAAACUUACAAGCACCAAGUGCUUGGUGCUUUUAUAUAUAUAUAUAUAUAUAUAUAUAUAUAUAUAUAUAUAUAUAUAAUUAGGCUGAAAUGUUUCUUAUAGUAUACGAAGUCAUUGGUGCUAUUUCGGCUUUUGUUUGAAAGGACGUGUGGUUAUGAUGUUAGUAAUCCCCUGGGAUUAAGUUGGUGGUUUGAUUGAAUAGCAUAAUCUAACGAAUAAAGUGAUCAAAAUAAUAAAUUUAACGGCGAAAAAUUUAGUAGCACCAAAUGCUUGGUGGUAUUAGAAGCAUCCUAUUUAGACUAUAUAUAUAUAUAUAUACU
rnacentral:lncRNA from 1 species